GCCAGGUGCGGUGGCGCUGCCUGUACUACUCCGGAGGCUCAGGCUGGAGGAUCUUUUGAGCCCAGGAGUUCUGGGCUGUAGUGCGCUAUGCCAGUUGGUGUCUGCACUAAGUUCGGUAUCAAUAUGGUGACCUCCCAGGAACAGGGGACCACCAGGUUGCCUAAGAAGGGGUGAACCGGCCGAGGUCAGAAAUGGAGCAGGUCAAAACUCCCGUGCUGAUCAGUAGUGGGAUUGCGCCUGUGAAUAGCCACUGCACUCCAGCCUGGGCAGCAUAGUGAGACCCUGUCUCU
ensembl:misc_RNA Metazoa_SRP Metazoan signal recognition particle RNA